rnacentral:rRNA from 1 species
GAGAUUAAAGAUUUAUCGGUGAUGGAUGGGGAUGCGUCUGAUUAGCUUGUUGGCGGGGUAACGGCCCACCAAGGCGACGAUCAGUAGGGGUUCUGAGAGGAAGGUCCCCCACAUUGGAACUGAGACACGGUCCAAACUCCUACGGGAGGCAGCAGUGAGGAAUAUUGGUCAAUGGACGAGAGUCUGAACCAGCCAAGUAGCGUGCAGGAAGACGGCCCUAUGGGUUGUAAACUGCUUUUAUAAGGGAAUAAAGUGAGAGUCGUGACUCUUUUUGCAUGUACCUUAUGAAUAAGGACCGGCUAAUUCCGUGCCAGCAGCCGCGGUAAUACGGAAGGUCCGGGCGUUAUCCGGAUUUAUUGGGUUUAAAGGGAGCGUAGGCCGGAGAUUAAGCGUGUUGUGAAAUGUAGAUGCUCAACAUCUGAACUGCAGCGCGAACUGGUUUCCUUGAGUACGCACAAAGUGGGCGGAAUUCGUGGUGUAGCGGUGAAAUGCUUAGAUAUCACGAAGAACUCCGAUUGCGAAGGCAGCUCACUGGAGCGCAACUGACGCUGAAGCUCGAAAGUGCGGGUAUCGAACAGGAUUAGAUACCCUGGUAGUCCGCACGGUAAACGAUGGAUGCCCGCUGUUGGUCUGAAUAGGUCAGCGGCCAAGCGAAA